UGUGGCAGACAAGUGCUAUGGGUUUAAGCCCCAUCCAUGAAGGAAUUACCUUCCAUUAAAA
rnacentral:tRNA from 1 species